rnacentral:rRNA from 1 species
CGAACGUUGGCGGCGUGGAUUAGGCAUGCAAGUCGAACGAAUCUCACUUGUGUAGCAAUACAUGGGUGGGGGAAGUGGCGAAAGGGGCAGUAAGGCGUGGGUAACCUACCCUGGGGAUGGGCAUAGCCGUUCUAACGAGCGGGUAAUACCCAGCGAUUCGGCCGAGGGGACAUCCUCUUGCCGGGAAAAGAGUUUCGCCUCGGGAGGGGCUCACGUGCUAUUAGCUAGUUGGUGAGGUAACGGCNCACCAAGGCAAAGAUGGCUAGCGGGUGUGAGAGCACGACCCGCGCCACUGGCACUGAGACACUGGCCAGACACCUACGGGUGGCUGCAGUCGAGGAUCUUCGUCAAUGGGCGCAAGCCUGAACGAGCGACGCCGCGUGUGCGAUGAAGGCC